CUCUGUCACAGUCCCCAGCUGGAGUGCAGUGGCGGGAUCUCCGCGCCCCGGGUUCCAUGUCUCCGGCCUCCGCCUCCACGUGGCCUCCGUGCCGGCCGACUCCUUCCCAGAGGCGGGCUCUCCCUCUGUGACCCCGGCUGCAGUACAGUGGUGUGGCCGCAGCUCACCGCAGCCUCAGCCUCUGGGGCUGGAACGACCUUCCUGAGGGACGUGCUCCUGAGGGACGUGCUCGCUCUCCGUGUCCACACCGGCGAGCGGUUGGAAGGUUCUGGAGGCUGAAAGUCUGAGUGCCAAUACGGCAGAUUUCUGGUGAUGGCCCUCUUUCCAGCUUACAGAGUGCUGCAUUCUUACUGUGUCCUCACAUGGAGGGGAGAGGAACAGAGGAUAGUUGACGAAAAGCCAAAAAGAUGGAAGAGGACACAUGCUGGGAGUGAGGUGUGGGGAGAAGAGGAAAACAAAUGUCAAAGUCGGCUACAAAAAUCAAGAAAAAUAAAGUAGAGUAAGUGAUAAAUAGCCUAUAAAGGAGAUAAUUAUGUAUAUAUUCUAGAGCAGGGGCCCUCGACCUCUGGUACAGUCCAUGGCCUGUUAAGACCACACAGCAGGAG